rnacentral:rRNA from 1 species
UACGUAGGGUGCGAGCGUUGUCCGGAAUUAUUGGGCGUAAAGGGCUCGUAGGCGGUUUGUCACGUCGGGAGUGAAAACUCGGGGCUCAACCCUGGGCCUGCAUUCGAUACUGGCAGACUAGAGUACGGCAGGGGAGACUGGAAUUCCUGGUGUAGCGGUGAAAUGCGCAGAUAUCAGGAGGAACACCGGUGGCGAAGGCGGGUCUCUGGGCCGAUACUGACGCUGAGGAGCGAAAGCGUGGGGAGCGAACAGG